GCAAUGUUGUAUUCUGCAGUGUGACAAAAUAGAAACUGAGAGGUAACUGCCAUGAGAAAAAUCAACAUUAUGUUGGCAUAAUAAGGAGGAAAUUGGAACUGGAGACUACUUCCUUCCAUUGGUCUAUGGAUCUACGGAUAUGGCUUGGGUUCAGAAAAUUCAUUCCCGUUUGCCUCAGUCCCAGAUUUUGAAAUAUGAUUAGAAGUUCCGGAAUUCCAGGCUAAGAGAAUUAACUACCAGCCUAACAAUGGUUGUCAUAAAGGGCAUGGAAAAUACUUUCUUUAUGCUAGGACCGGGGUAGGCAACCUUGGCUCUUUUAUGAUUCGUGGACUUCAACUCCCAGAAUUCCUGAGCCAGCCAUCACAAGACCCAAAGCAGAAAGUUUAUUCAGGAAGCUCAAAGGAGUUUACAUGGAGAAUCUGAUUUCCAGAAGUCCCUCAACACAUGGUAAUGUCAACAGGCCUGGAGGUCCCAGGGAACCAGAGACAUGUUUAGAUAACUUCACUACUGAGAUACAGUAUGAUGAAGAAAACUCAUUCCUUAUAAAACUGGCACUGAAUUUUUGUCAGCUCUGGAUUAAAUCCAAUGCUGGCAAACUGGACUCCAAUAUUUACAAAUAAACACGCAGAAAAAUCUGAAGAAAAGUUGAGUCCCUGCAAAAAAGAUUUUAGAUCAAAUAAUCAUUUACUUUUUUAAUCUUCAUCGUCAAUGACCAUUUCUAGAGAAAUUGAAGGAAACAUAUUUGUACUGAGAUCAGUAUGUGGGUGAAGAUUUCUAUGGAAUUAUAUGGAUUAUUUGGAACUAUAUUGAAGCUAAUAUAAGUUUUUAAGAAAAUAUCAUAUGGUCUCCAGACAUGUAUUCUACUAUCAAAAGCACAUGAAUGAGAAAUGUGGAUCACAUCAAGCAUAAACUCAUCAAUGUUGAAUUUUGUCACAUUCCAUAUUUUACAAAUAAUCAUCUGAUACUUUAAUUGCUUUGUCUAUGUAGAUACUUCUGCUUGAACAGAUCUAUCUGGAGUAAAAGUUCUCAACAAUAACAAAAAAGAAUAUAUUCCUAAAUGGAAUAUAUAUUCCAUUACCCCCAACUUUAGGGGAAAUGCAUCAUAUGAGAUUGUGAGACAGGUUCUUUUUCAGAGUGAAAAACCAAAUGAGAAAUAUUGUUCUUGAAAAAAUGCACAUGAAGUCAGACUUAUUGAAAUGCUAACACUAAUUUAAAUUUCUCUAUGUGUACUGUGUCCGGCAUAACUUCUGCCAAUAUUUUUUAUACAACUUACUGAUUUUAAUAGAACAAAAUCAUUAUUGUUUUAAUUCUGAUAUGUUUUGGUAAAAAGUAUAUGCUGAAUUUCAAAAAAUAACUUUUGUUUAUAUAGAUUGACAUAAUUUUUCAUAUAUAACUACAGUUGAAAAUAAAAUGCAGAUGUGAACCUGUAGGUUCAUUUAACACAAAAUCAAUGAACACCCUCUACAGUAUAAUAAUCUUUUUAUAUAGACUGACAAGAUUAAUUAUAAAUAGAUUAUUUUUUCUAAUUGCUUCUAAUCUGUUCAACUGUAUAGAUGGGAACUAUCUUAGACAUAAUAUAUAAUAUAAAAGACCUGGAUUAGGCAAAUGUUGUUUCAUGUGUUAAAGAUAUCAUCGCAGAAUAUAAGCUGUUCCAAGUAAAGCUACCUUUUGCAAUUGACUGAUGGUGAUUUUGUCAAUGCUGAAGAUGUUCAGAUGCUGCUCCAGAUGCUUUGAGAUUGCACCCAGGGCACCUACUACUAUUGUAACUAUCUUUGAUUUCUUUGGCCAUAGUUGUUGUACUUCUUUUUCCAGAUCUUUCUGUUUUGUGAUUUUUCUCCAGUUCCUUUUCUUCUAUUCUGUUGUCUCUGGGUACUACCAUGUCCACUAGCCAGAUUUUUUUCAUCUUUCUUAUCAACACUUGUUAAGUCCGAGGUGUAAUGUUAUUAUCUGCUUUGCCUGUUUUUUUUUUAAAAAAAUGUACUGCUCAUGUCCCUUUUCUAUUCUUUAUUUGGUCUCUCCAGUGUUCAGUAACCCUUCAUGGUAUACUAACUUCAGUGCAUAUUCUAUUUCUUCACCUGUCUAAUAUACCUGCAACAUUCAAUGCCCACCUAUUUUUUUUUAGUAAGCAGAGUUUGUCAACAUUGCUGCAUAGAUAUUCAUUGUCAUUGUUGUUCUGGUUUUCCUAUCCAGGGCUUUUAAUUCAACUUGAAUCCAUUCCUAAUUCCAGUGUUGUAUCCAUUAAUUGGAAUUGCUCAGGUGUUAAUUGCAUUGAUUGUAUUUCUUCCAUUGAAUUUGAACUUUAAGAUCUUCUUCAUUCUCAUGAUGUAUUCAUUUCUAACCUUUUUCUUGACUUCAAUUUAAUUUUUCCCCCUUCUGUCAAAUAAAACAAUUUAAUUCAAUUUAAAUCUUUAGAAGGACAUCCAAGGCUUUGAAGGACAGAAUGUGGCUUACUCCUGACACUCAGCUUGCAGCAAAUCAUCAUUAGAGAGCUAGAUAAAUAAAAGCAGAGAGUGAGUGAAAUCACUCUGUGAACAAACUACAAGUUAAUCAAAUAUUUUCAAAUAAAAUUUGGAUAUUGUGCAGUUGAUUCUUUCUAUAAAUACUGAAUAAUUGGUUUAGCUAUUGUGGUAAUAAUAUUUUAUAUAGUAAUAAAUGUUAACUUAAAAUAUUCAAGGAAUUGGUGAGACUGUUUUUCAUUAUGGAUCAGCUGUCUCAUGUAGUUUAGUAAAUAUAUCCUGUGUGUGUAUCUCUAUCUCUGUGUGUGUGUGUGUGUGUGUGUGUGUCAUACUUCACCAACACAAUUUACUUGUAUGGAAAAAUCUAGCUAGUAAAGGAUAUAACUUACUUAAAUAAAUAAUUUCACAGACUUCUUGUUUCAGUUAUGAUAUUGUUACACAUCCUGUCAUUUAAACAACUCCAAUUGGUGGAGUCUAGAAAGAAAGCCUUCUCUGCCAUUGCUCCUCCAUGGAAUAUUCUUCCCCUGAAAGUGAGGCGGGCUCCCACUCUCCUGGCCUUCCCAAAGAGGUGUAGACAUGGCUCUGCAGCCUUCUGUGGAAAGCCCAAAGAAGCACACAGUCAUGGGGUUGGUUGUGCUAUGAGAGACCUCCCUUUGCUUUUGUCUGCUAAUUUUUAACAGGGUUUAAU